UACGUAGGGCGCGAGCGUUGUCCGGAAUUAUUGGGCGUAAAGAGCUCGUAGGUGGUUUGUCGCGUUGUCCGUGAAAACUCACAACUCAAUUGUGGGCGUGCGGGCGAUACGGGCAGACUGGAGUACUGCAGGGGAGACUGGAAUUCCUGGUGUAGCGGUGGAAUGCGCAGAUAUCAGGAGGAACACCGGUGGCGAAGGCGGGUCUCUGGGCAGUAACUGACGCUGAGGAGCGAAAGCGUGGGGAGCGAACAGG
rnacentral:rRNA from 1 species